CUGAAAGCAAUUAAGCGAGUCUGUAAUGUUAAAACAAAUGAUAGCAGAAGGUUAAUGGGAAGGGAAUUGAAAUUGAGAUUAUGCUGAUUAAAGCCAACUGUCAUGUGGUCAGAUGGAAGCAGAACGAAAUGAGGGACUGAAACACAGACGCUCACAGGAAGCCAAGGUUGAGCUGAGCAGGGAUUGUUGAGGGGAAAACAGAGCACCUGCAGUGAGACCAGGGGAAAAUAUUGCAUCAAGAAAAUUUCUUCAAGCCAAAUCCCAGUCAUGGUGUGAUUUAUGGGGACGCAGUAACACAUGGGACGUCAGAGCCAAUCAUCAUUCAUCUCUAAAGAAAGAACAGCUCACGGUUGAGCUCCCAUGGGCAGCACCCCCAGCAGAACAGGUCAGAGGAGACCAGGGUCAUUCUGCCUAUGCUGUACAUUUUCAUGUCCCCAUCAUGUCUAAAGAAGAAAAUCAUAUUCUCUAGUUGCUAGAAAAACAGGCA
rnacentral:lncRNA from 12 species